rnacentral:rRNA from 1 species
UGGCCGGGGAGGAAAGACUAACAGGAUUCCCCUAGUAACUGCGAGUGAACAGGGAUUAGCCCAGCACCGAAGCCUGUGGUCAUUUGAUCACUAGGCAAUGUGGUGUUCAGGUUGUUCCGCAAAGGUACUGCUCCACCCUAAGUCCAUCAAUGAGUACGGCGUACGGACAUGGCCCACUGAGGGUGAAAGGCCCGUGUGGGUGGAGUUCAAGCAGGCCAGUGCCUUUCUGGAUAGACCUUGGAGUCGGGUUGUUUGUGAAUGCAGCCCAAAGUGGGUGGUAAACUCCAUCCAAGGCUAAAUACUAGCACGAGACCGAUAGCGAACAAGUACCGUGAGGGAAAGUUGAAAAGUACUUUGAAGAGAGAGUAAACAGUGCGUGAAACCGAUCAGAGGUAAACGGGUGGAGUUGAACUGCAAGCUCUGAAGAAAUUCAGCUGGGUGAGUGGGUUUUGAAGCUUGGAUAAAAUUCGGUUGGGCCCCUGGAGUCUGCGUAGUAAGCAGGCCUUUGCCCCUCGGGGGUGGAGGGUGCGCGGUGCACUUAUCAAGGUGUUGUGCGCUUCAGGGUGUUCAUCGGGCCGACUUGCCAGUGCACUUUCUCAGAGUAGUCACCACGACCGGCACCGCUGUCUGGCUGUUAUGGUUAAACCGUUCUUGCAUUGUCCUUGUGGCGUUGCUUGGUCGGGAUGGCAGGUAGAUCGUUGACUUGCUUGUGGCUUGCUGCAGGCAUUUGGUCUUCGAUUGUAAUCAGCUGACCAUAUCGGUUCUGUGCAGUGUGUCGGAGACGGCGGCUUUUGUGUGUGCGUGCGUGCCUGGCUGGCUGACCUAUCCGGGUUUGGUUGUUAUGUUGCCUGUUUGCGCAGGCCUGAUAAUGGCUCGGAUUGGUUCGGUUGGCGGUUGCGUGCGUGUCACAAUUCAAGGGCCAAUAGUCUGUGGUGUAGUGGUAGACUAUCCACCUGACCCGUCUUGAAACACGGACCAAGGAGAGUAACAUGUGCGCGAGUCAAUGGGCGUAACGAAACCCAAAGGCGCAGUGAAAGUAAAGGUCUGGCUUGUCCAGGCUGAGGUGAGAUCCUGUCGUUUCUCAUGCGUGGUACCACCAAGCUUCGAGCGGCAGGCGCAUCACCGGCCCGUCCCAUGACAAUUGUUUUCGAUCAUUACCCAGUCGGGGCGGAGCAUGAGCGCACAUGUUGAGACCCGAAAGAUGGUGAACUAUGCUUGCGCAGGUUGAAGCCAGAGGAAACUCUGGUGGAGGACCGUAGCGGUUCUGACGUGCAAAUCGAUCGCCAGACGUGAGUAUAGGGCGAAAGACUAAUCGAACCAUCCAAAGGGCC